CAACUGGGCAGAGGGAUCCUCCUCCCAUCAUCACUGGUGCUGGUUGGGCUUCCCAGACUCACAGCUGACCUGCUGAUCUUAUUUUCCAUACUUUGGCUGUAGCACAUUGUUUGUAUAGAGAAGUAAAGCCAACACACCGAAAUCCACGAGCUUGACUCCUCCUUCAGUGGUCAGCAGGAUGUUGUUUCCCUUGAUGUCACGGUGGAUGGUUUUGUUUUCAUGCAGAUGCUGAAGUCCCUGGAAGGAGAACCACCUGAAGUUACACAUCACACUGAUUUCGUUGAGAGUUGGGGCUGUUCAGUCUGGAGAGGAGAAGGCUCUGAGGCCAGUUAUGACCCCGUGGCUGCUCGUGCCAAAAAACAAAGAGCUGAAGAUUGCCUGUCCUUUCACUGAGAGCUCAUCUUACCAUCAGAGCUUCGUGCAGAAUAUGAUUUACCUCCAGAACUAGCCACAGUUGGUCUCCAUUUUUCACAUCCUUCUUAUAGUACAUGCCAUAGAACUUGACUACGUUGGGGUGAUCAGAGAGAGCUUUCAAAAUGUUGUACUCUGCUUCAAUUUCUUCAUCGAUAUCCUGGAGUCAUGAAGGAGAAAGUGCAGUGAAUAACUAUUAUUGUAGCCAGGUAAAAGGAAAAAAAAAAAAGGCAUGGCAUUUUCUGGCUAUUCAAAUGUAGUUUGAAAUAAUAAAACCCCCCAAAAGAACCCAAACAAACUCAAACAACCAAACAGAAUGAGUCUGUGACAGCUGCAAGGCUACGAAGCUUGAUUCUCUUUGCUCAGUACAAAACAGCCACCUGGGGUUUGACUUGGGCUUUAUUGGCUUUGCCUAAUGAACACAUGGGUAUGAGACUAAUGAAGAUGUGGGUAUGAGCAAGCAGCCCUCAGGAGCAUGGGAAUGGAACGUUUGGGAGCAAAACCAGUGCAAUCCACAAGUGUUUGUAGAUGUCUUGGGAGGUCAUGUUCCUUCUCUGGACUCAAGGGUGUCCCAAGCUUGAG